rnacentral:tRNA from 1 species
GGGCGAUGUGCUGCAAGGUGCGGCAGCGGACUGUAACUCCGCCGNNGCCUGGUUCGAUUCCAGGAUCGCCCACCA